GAAGUACACGCACAUACGUAUAUAUAUAUAUUCGGUGUCCACCAGAUUCCGACUGGUUCUGGUUGACUGUCGUGUGCGCCCCCCUCGCAGAAAAGCUCCUCAAAAUCUUUCACAAACACAACAUACAUAUAUACGUACGUACGUACACCCGCUUCCUCUGCAACUUGCUGUUUUUCUUGUGCCACGGGGGAGGGCCACGGCAUACCGGGUCGACUCCGAUCCUCCCCACUCUUCAGCCGCCGCCCUCGCCUUUGUUGCUCCUCCUCUCUGCGGCCGUUUUCUGCGGCCCAGUCUCCACGCCCCCCCCCCCCGCCUCUUUUCAUCUUCACCGGCUUUCUUUGUUUGCCGGCGUGCGCAGGAGGGGAGGAGAAGGGAUAGCUCGUUCUGCUUGGCUUGUCUUUCUUUGUUGUUUUUGUCGUGCCCUGCUUCAGAGAAGAUCGAUCUCCGGUGUCUUGGGGCAGCGGUGCGCGCGUGUGUGUACAUAGUGGAAGUGACAGACACACAUACGCACGCAUCUCCCUCCGUCUUGCUGUGCUUCCUUGCUCUCUCUUUCUCAAUCUGCCAGGAAUCUGCUGCUCCUCCACGCGCCUCUUCACCCACGUCAGUUUUGGGAACCCUCCCCUUCGCUCUCCUCUCCCCCUCCCCCUCCCCCUCCCCUCCGCAUCUUCUCGUUCUGCGGUGUUGACAGAAAGCGCACGCUUCUUUCGCUCUCUUUUUUUUUCUGCUUCCAUUUCUUCUUCGUAUAUUCCCUUCGUGGCAGCCGCAUCGGCAUCACGCCAGCCGUUGCGCUUGAGUGUGCCGUCUCACGUGCUCCACAAAAACGAAGGAGGAAAGACGCGAAGAGCAGAGAAGUAAGGAGGCUGUGCGUGUGUAUGCGUGAGGGAGGUAGGGAGGAAGGGAGCGGGGUGUAGUGCGCGUAGUCUUUAAGAGCUGCAGCGGAAGGCCGUGUUCUCGGCACGAGAUGGACGAUUCCAGAAAAGCAGAUCAGCAGCAGAGGGGCGUGGAUGCCAUGGGAAAGCCAGUGACCGUCAAGGUGCCGCUACCGGCUCUGCUGGAUAUCAAGGCGGAAGCCCUGCGCUCGAACCCGUCUUUCUUCGUCACGUGCUUCUCCACGCUGCUGACAGCGGUGCUGCUGGGGUUGUGCUUCAUGAUUGUUGGGAUUCCACCCCUGUACAUUGCCGUUCGUCGAGGUAGGUGCAUCUACGUGGGUGUCAUGGUGCCCCUGCUGACAGUGAUCGGCACAGUGCUGAGCUACUACGCCAUGCAGCACCCGCAGCGCGUGUUCAACUCAUCGUUGGCACAGAUCGUUAAGGAAAUGGAGCAACACGCAACGUACUUGAGCACCGCGGUGGGCAACGUGGAGACAGAGUUGGAGACACGCCGGGUUACCCUGGGCUUGGCGUAUGCAGAUGAACCGGCCCGCAUGCGCAGUUUGCCGAUGACCCCAGAAGAGUCGGGGCUGCAGCACUUCUCUAGAAUUUCUAUGCCCGGGGGGGCGGCGGCAAGCAUGUCUGCCACACUACCCGCUAUUGGCGGCCCCGGCUUCCUUCACGGCAUCGACAAGCUCGAGGAGGAGCGGGACGUGAUCAUUGCCACCGUUCACGUAGGCAAGGAGUGGCGCUGGCUAAUGGGCCUGCUAGGGAAGCUGAACCUGCGGAGCUUAACGGGACCGACGAACCCCGCGGUGCAUCACCAACGCAUCGCCGUGCGCGCCCUGGCGAUCAGUGUCGCGCGGGUGGAGCGGAUGAUCUUGUCGCUGUACUUCUCCUCUUUUGUGCUGAGCCGGGCCAAUGCAGCUGCGCCGGUCAACCUGUUGGGCCUCGCUGCCUCCAAGAGCGUUGCAGGCUGCAGCUCUGGCUUCGGCCACAACGCAGGGAGGAACCAGGAGUCUGUGCACGGGCGCACCUCGACGUCGAUGUUCAAGCCGUCGGCGCCAAUCAUGACAUCGGUGAAGCUGCACCCCCCGCACACGCCCGGUAACGAGCUGGGUGACUCGUUCACGGAGAGCGUUUUCACCGUCCCCCGGGAGACGCCGAACGAGAGCAGAGACCGCGCGGAGAGCGGCGGCGCUGGCGAGGAGAUGACCUCGCAGCUCACCUCGCUAAAUGUGAAGGGCAUCCCCUUUGGGAGGGUGAAACUACCGCAGUUUCCGACGCUGACCACGGGAAGCACAGGCAGCAGAGAACCCCAGAAGCCGCACGCCCAUGCGCACGAGGAGCCGUCGGCGGCCAGGGGUGCAACCACUGCGUCAGCUCCGGUAGAACGUGUCUUGCACUUGGACACCGACGCCCAACUGACGGACGAGAAGGCACAGAGGCCGGACAGCACCUCCGCCAGCGAGCACAGCGUGCGCUCCCUUGCCGACACGAACAAGGCCGACGAAGCGGGUGACCAAGACGGAGGUAGCGGCGAUAGCUCACCGCUGGCGGUGGGCAAGGGGCGGCGCAGGUCAACCAUCAUCCCCUCAUCAUCGGUGGCGCACGCCGCGACGCUGUGCAUUCAGAGUCGCACCGUCGCCGCCGCGGACAACGUGGCGGAAAAGGCCUUCAUGGACGGCAACGCGGGGGGAAGGGGGGCCGUCUUGUCGCAUUGCUUGAGCAUCUCUGCGAAGCAUCUGGAGCAACAGCUGUCGAGUGGGAGAGAUAAUGGCGACAGCGUGGUAAGAAGCUGCACAGCGGCACCCCAUUCUGAUGGAAACGCCACCGGGGCUUCACCGAUAUCGUCUCCGCGGUCAAAACCAUGGCUGACUCGCCCCACGCGUAGCCGACAGCCCGGCUCCGCCGUCGUCGCAAACCCCUCUCUCACACUACACCGUGGGGCGCGCUUCAUCGGGGACGCGAGCAACGUCUUUGUCACAGUGCUCAUUCACGUGGAGAAGGGGAACUCGGCGUGUGGCUCUCGCCUCUACGGUGCACAGGCGCACGCCAGCUACGACGCAUCAGCGAACAAGCACUACUUCACCAACGGGGUCGACUCCUCGCUCACGCACUCCUGUGGCUUCCAUCCCUUCACAAUCUUCUACAUCUCCAAUCACAAAGGUCAGCGCGAAGGGCUGACCACGCGGGAGCAGCAACUGCUGCAGUUUGUGUACUGCCGUCCCGAAGAACCGUCGGAGCUAGACUCCGUAAGCCACCGUUGUGCGAUGGACUUGUCCUCGCUAGCGGUUCGCGGCCCCGGGCACAGCAGGGGAGACACGGCAGCAGCUGCCGCGACGACCCACGCGGGCAGCUCCACCGCCAGCUUCGCGCGCGAGACGGCGAGCCCGCCUAGCAGCACCCCGCACCGCGCCUCUAACGCCGUCUUUACAGAGCCGCGCGUGGACUCCUUUAUUGUCGCCAUGCAAAUCCUACAAGACCGCCCCAUGCGCCUCGCCUUCCUGCCUGUUGUCAUGGCACCGGUGCAGCCCAAGGGCACGUCGCUGGCCAACAACAACGCCACCAUGCAGCCGUUGAAAGUGACAUGUCGCACGGACUUGGAGAGCAGCGGCAAGGAACUGCACCUAACCAGUGGCGGCGGCAUCAGCAGCACGCCCACGGCGUCGGCGAUGACGAUGCCCGCGCGUGGCCGUCCCAGCAGCGGCGGCGUUGGCAGCUCCGAAGACGGCGCCACGAACUCCACGCCAGAGGCGGUCCGUCGAGCCCCGUCGCCCACGACAGUGCCGGUGCUGGAGUGCAUGAUCGACAAUGUGCUCUGCAUCUUGACAGAGAUAGAAAUCACCGUGGAUACCUCCUUCAAACGGCCAUCAAAGGUGCUUCUCAUUGGUGUGUCUCUGGAGGACGUAUCCGAGGAGGGCUCCGAGCGCGGCGAAAACGGCGUGGACGAAGACGAGGGAGUGUCUCAAGAUUCAGUGGAGGGUAGCACCGGGAGCCGAAGUCUCGAGGGCGCUGGCGAGACGAAGCAGCCGGCCGAUCGUCGCGGCCUGCCGCGGCAGCGGGCAGCCAAUGAGGUGGAGGUGAUCCAACAAGGCAUCCGGAGUGCCAUGGCUACACCGAGUUGUCGGGUAAUGCUGCGGCAUGGGGACUCCAGAUCAGUGGCAUCGCUGAACCGGUACAAAAAUGGUGAGCGGUGCACCCUUGGGCAGGAGUUUCGCGAGGUGAUCCAUCUUGAGUAAAAGCGGACCUCGAAGAGGGCUGGCGAGCAAAGCAAGGUGGCGCCUUUGCAGGCCACCCGACGCCUUUCAGUUGUCAUCUCAGGACGCGCCCCACGCGCUUGGCGUGCAUGCGUGCGCGUGUUUGUUUCGCGUGUGUGCCACCCUCGCUUUGCUCUUCGUUGGCGAUGAGCGAGAAACCGUUGGUGGCAGCGGCCGGGGAUGGCGUACUCAGCAAUGCAAGUGUGAGGAGGACAAGCUGCCGACUUGCCGGCCGCCGACGACGCGACCGUCGCUCUGGUGCGGUGGCAAGAUUCGCGCCGUACCCUCUCCCUGGUCCGUGCCUUCACCCCCCCCCCACCACCACCACCACUGCCUCUUCGCUGUUGCGGAUGCUUUCUCACCCUUAGCCUCCGACCGACCCACCCGACGCCGCGGCCUUCCCUCUCCCCAUGAUGAUGAACUCCGUUUUUCUUUUCGCUCUGGUUGCAUACUUAAACCGGUGAAACGCAGUGGGGGUGGGGAGGGGGGAAGCACGCAGACACCCACCGCUCAGUGCGUGGCAUCAGAGGGUCCGGCCCCACCGCACCCCCCCCCUCCCCUCCACUCCCGACUCUCUGCGUGUGUGAGGGAGGAAGCCCAGCAGCCCCCACCUCACCCUCCCCAAUGCCGAGCCACUCCUGGUGGUGGUGGCAGGGCCCGGUGCCCGCGACGCAGCGAGGUCAGAGCAAUUCAGCGCUACUGAUGUUGUCGGUCAAGGCCCUGCGUGGCGCUGCGUCGACGCCACCUGCGCAGCGGGCAGAGUGCGAGGCAGGGGCCGUGCUCUCAGGCGACUGCAUCGGCGCCUUGCUGGACCGGCGUGUGUCGACGGCUGCCAUGGUCCCACGCGAGGUGGGGCCUGUGUGACAGGGCCGUGGGUGGCAGCGUGGGGCGUUGGACCCCACGUUGUGUGGCAGAGAAGCGGACUCAUGAUUACGAAGCUAGGAAAAGCGGGCGUGUUCGUGUGUUUAGUACGUGAGGGGAGGGUGCGGGUGCAGGUGCGUGUUUGCGCGGCGGUGAUUUGUUUUUUUUUCCGUCGUUCAUUGUUGAGUUGUUAUCAUGUCUCUCAAGCUUCUCUACCUCUCGCUAUUAUUGAUGAUGUCACACCAGCACGAGCACCAGCGCCCCCUGCCUCUCUACCCCCUUUUGCUUUACUCAUUCUCUCGUGCGCUUGAAGAGUACCUCCUUGGUACCUCAGCGCAGUACACCUCAAGCACUUAC
rnacentral:misc_RNA from 1 species